CAAAGUGUAGCUAAAUAGUAAAGCAUCUCCCUUACACCGAGAAAAUAUCCGUGCAAAUCGAAUCACUUUGA
rnacentral:tRNA from 2 species